GUGGGUAUGGCUUGGUGGUGGAGUGCAUGUUUAGCAUGCAUGAGGUCCUGGGUUCAAUACCCAGUACCUCCA
rfam:Camelus ferus unplaced genomic scaffold scaffold1499, whole genome shotgun sequence.